UAAAAAUUAUCAUUCAAUUUGUACAAUGAAGUUGAAGAUGUAUAAAGAAAUGUUAUACACAUUUGUUCCAGACAACUCCCCCCCCCCCAUAAGGAUGACAAUGUACUUGGACAAGAUUCUAAGACCUUUUUGAAAGAAAUAUGAAUAGGGGACUUCUAUAGCAGAAGAAGUAUAGCCAAACUUGCAGAAAACAACAACCGAAUGACUGCAUCACUAAAGAAAAGAAACAGGAUUUCUCCAAAUGUAGAAAUGCAGACAGCUCUUCACCAUCAACUGUGAUCCUUUGUAAUUUUGUGUACAUAUGAAACUAAAUGACUGCAAAGAAAUGUUUUUUGUUGUUCUUAGGUUGUUGUAUGCAUACUUCA